UGGCUCAGAUUGAACGCUGGCGGCAGGCCUAACACAUGCAAGUCGAGCGGUAGCACAGAGAGCUUGCUCUCGGGUGACGAGCGGCGGACGGGUGAGUAAUGUCUGGGAAACUGCCUGAUGGAGGGGGAUAACUACUGGAAACGGUAGCUAAUACCGCAUAAUGUCGCAAGACCAAAGUGGGGGACCUUCGGGCCUCAUGCCAUCAGAUGUGCCCAGAUGGGAUUAGCUAGUAGGUGGGGUAAUGGCUCACCUAGGCGACGAUCCCUAGCUGGUCUGAGAGGAUGACCAGCCACACUGGAACUGAGACACGGUCCAGACUCCUACGGGAGGCAGCAGUGGGGAAUAUUGCACAAUGGGCGCAAGCCUGAUGCAGCCAUGCCGCGUGUGUGAAGAAGGCCUUCGGGUUGUAAAGCACUUUCAGCGGGGAGGAAGGCGAUAAGGUUAAUAACCUUGUCGAUUGACGUUACCCGCAGAAGAAGCACCGGCUAACUCCGUGCCAGCAGCCGCGGUAAUACGGAGGGUGCAAGCGUUAAUCGGAAUUACUGGGCGUAAAGCGCACGCAGGCGGUCUGUCAAGUCGGAUGUGAAAUCCCCGGGCUCAACCUGGGAACUGCAUUCGAAACUGGCAGGCUAGAGUCUUGUAGAGGGGGGUAGAAUUCCAGGUGUAGCGGUGAAAUGCGUAGAGAUCUGGAGGAAUACCGGUGGCGAAGGCGGCCCCCUGGACAAAGACUGACGCUCAGGUGCGAAAGCGUGGGGAGCAAACAGGAUUAGAUACCCUGGUAGUCCACGCCGUAAACGAUGUCGAUUUGGAGGUUGUGCCCUUGAGGCGUGGCUUCCGGAGCUAACGCGUUAAAUCGACCGCCUGGGGAGUACGGCCGCAAGGUUAAAACUCAAAUGAAUUGACGGGGGCCCGCACAAGCGGUGGAGCAUGUGGUUUAAUUCGAUGCAACGCGAAGAACCUUACCUGGUCUUGACAUCCACAGAACUUUCCAGAGAUGGAUUGGUGCCUUCGGGAACUGUGAGACAGGUGCUGCAUGGCUGUCGUCAGCUCGUGUUGUGAAAUGUUGGGUUAAGUCCCGCAACGAGCGCAACCCUUAUCCUUUGUUGCCAGCGGUUCGGCCGGGAACUCAAAGGAGACUGCCAGUGAUAAACUGGAGGAAGGUGGGGAUGACGUCAAGUCAUCAUGGCCCUUACGACCAGGGCUACACACGUGCUACAAUGGCAUAUACAAAGAGAAGCGACCUCGCGAGAGCAAGCGGACCUCAUAAAGUAUGUCGUAGUCCGGAUUGGAGUCUGCAACUCGACUCCAUGAAGUCGGAAUCGCUAGUAAUCGUAGAUCAGAAUGCUACGGUGAAUACGUUCCCGGGCCUUGUACACACCGCCCGUCACACCAUGGGAGUGGGUUGCAAAAGAAGUAGGUAGCUUAACCUUCGGGAGGGCGCUUACCACUUUGUGAUUCAUGACUGGGUGA
rnacentral:rRNA from 1 species